GUUUUCACCUUUUUAGUCAGUGUUGACCUUUUGCAACUACAUCACUUCAUCAUUCAAGGCGCCAUGACGGACGUCGGAAAUGAGGAUCAGGAGUAUUGAACAGAGCGACUGAAAUUGUUUUCCCAAGUUGUUUUUGCUAGUUUAUUCAUGGCUUCUACUUGUUGGAGUCAAACUAAUUUGUCUGUGAUUGUAACACACCUGUUUGGGGCUCAUAGACGGGGGUAUUUACAGAAGCUUGAAACAGCUAGCUUACAAACCAACCGACCCGUUUCUCCUCCCUCCUGACGUGUUGAUCAAAUUACCUACUUAGCCUGAAUUCAGACCACAUGAUUCAUAUCAGUACAUCAUUUCACCUGAGCAGCCUUAAAACCGUACAACAGAGGAAAUGCUAACCAGUUUUUUCCAUACAUGUUUGGAUACAUAAUGGUGGACAUUGUUUCAAUUGUUAUUAACGGUUAGACACGUACCUCCAUGUCUUGAUGGAGCUCAGAGACAUCCUUCAUAAUCGUUCUAAUCAUACUUACUUAUAAAGUAUGUAGAUACUUUUGAUUUGAUAUUGAUCAUCUUGUAAAAAGCGUUCACUGCUAUUCCACGGUUACACCGAGGACUGACAGUCAUUAUGACUGCUAUCCAUCGCUGCCAUCUUUCCUCAUUAAAAGUUAUUCAAUAAAAUUACAAAUGUGGUUUACAUCCUUGUCUGUUUGUGUAGCCGACUGUGCAGCACCUAUGACCAUUUUUAAACUGAAAUCAACUAAAUAAAAGCAAUAUUAAGCUACAGAUGUCUGUUUUUAAACAGGCUUUGCAGGAGGGCAUUGGUUGUUUUGCCGUCCGUCAUGCGCAAAGGGUUCAUAGGGAUUACUAUAUAAAAACCACAUUGUGCAUCCACUAAAAGAAUGAUAAGUGUUGUGCAACCUAAUUAUCUACCACCA